UACGGGGGGGGGCAAGCGUUGUUCGGAAUUACUGGGCGUAAAGGCUCGUAGGCGGCCAACUAAGUCAGACGUGAAAUCCCUCGGCUUAACCGGGGAACUGCGUCUGAUACUGGAUGGCUUGAGUUUGGGAGAGGGAUGCGGAAUUCCAGGUGUAGCGGUGAAAUGCGUAGAUAUCUGGAGGAACACCGGUGGCGAAGGCGGCAUCCUGGACCAACACUGACGCUGAGUGAGCGAAAGCCAGGGGAGCAAACGGG
rnacentral:rRNA from 1 species